rnacentral:antisense_RNA from 14 species
AAUAACCGAAUAUAACACUUGGACUAAGAGUAAGGUUCGUAAUCUUUCUUACAUCCCCACCUCCAGGCGCCCAUGUAUCAUAUACACCUCCAAAAUAUAGAGCUUUGAACACUAAUAAAAAAGCACCAGCACCUAACAGAAUUAAGUGAAUACCUAAAAUAGUGGUCAUUUUGUUCUUAUCUUUCCA